rnacentral:rRNA from 1 species
GAUGAACGCUGGCGGCGUGCCUAAUACAUGCAAGUCGAGCGAACAGACGAGGAGCUUGCUCCUCUGACGUUAGCGGCGGACGGGUGAGUAACACGUGGAUAACCUACCUAUAAGACUGGGAUAACUUCGGGAAACCGGAGCUAAUACCGGAUAAUAUAUUGAACCGCAUGGUUCAAUAGUGAAAGACGGUUUUGCUGUCACUUAUAGAUGGAACCGCGCCGCAUUAGCUAGUUGGUAAGGUAACGGCUUACCAAGGCAACGAUGCGUAGCCGACCUGAGAGGGUGAUCGGCCACACUGGAACUGAGACACGGUCCAGACUCCUACGGGAGGCAGCAGUAGGGAAUCUUCCGCAAUGGGCGAAAGCCUGACGGAGCAACGCCGCGUGAGUGAUGAAGGUCUUCGGAUCGUAAAACUCUGUUAUUAGGGAAGAACAAAUGUGUAAGUAACUAUGCACGUCUUGACGGUACCUAAUCAGAAAGCCACGGCUAACUACGUG